UAAGUCCACACAACGAAGGAAUAACGUAACCACGUUGUAGCGAACAUUGAGUGUAAUUUAGUGAUGAAUUGCACUAAGCGUAUGGAGCGAAUUGUGCAGGCCGAAAUGUGAAAACGUGAAGCGAUUUAGUCCCGAAAGUACCUUCAACCUCUUGGGUGACGCCGUACGUCCAGCGGAAACCAAAAUCAAUUACUUCGAUAGACGUGAGAUGUAAUUGGCAAGAGCGGGGUUGUUAAGCU
rfam:Proteobacteria bacterium Nonnen-W8red strain MWH-Nonnen-W8red genome.